GAAGUGGCCUUCCUCUCACUCACUCUCCCUCACUCACUCACUCUCUCUCGCCGCCGCUCACUCACUCUCCCUUGCCGCCGCUGAGACACAAAGAGUAGCUGCCAUCCUCACUGUGCCGCCCUUGCCAUCAGGAAGAGUAGCUGCCAUCCUCAAUGGACUGCGCCUCUUUUAGUUAGAAAAAGAAGUCAAGAGGCAAAACCCGGUGAGAGUUGCUGUAUGUUCAUCUUUGCCGGUAUCUUUGCUAAUGUCAGAAAUGCCGAAACUGGUUAACGUAUAUAGGUGUGGAUUUGGAUGAAAGUGGUGUGUGACUGAAAAAGUGGGGGACCCCGUGACUGGGCCUGUUCACAAUGCAAUUUUGUGAUUUUGUCAGAGGUAAUAGUAGUUACUGGUGCCUGGUUAUGUUAUGUUAUGUUAUGUUGUGCAUAGUCCUUUUGUUUACAUAAUUCCCAUAUAGUGGGCACAGUAUUAUUUAAAAGUUAGAAAUCAAACAUAAGAUGUUAGGCAGUUAUGUAACUUAAUUAGUUUACAUACUUUGCAUUACAUUUUUUAUAAUUGUUGUUUCAUCUUAAUAUUCAAUAACCUUUGUUGAUAGCUAGUUUUUUGCUAAAACCUAUUUGAAAACAGAAUGCAAAUGAUAUAUGUUGUAUGC